AUACGUAGGGGGCAAGCGUUAUCCGGAUUUACUGGGUGUAAAGGGAGCGUAGACGGCAAAGCAAGUCUGAAGUGAAAGCCCCGGGCUCAACCCGGGAAUUGCUUUGGAAACUGUUUAGCUAGAGUGCAGGAGAGGUAAGCGGAAUUCCUAGUGUAGCGGUGAAAUGCGUAGAUAUUAGGAGGAACACCAGUGGCGAAGGCGGCUUACGGGACUGUAACUGACGUUGAGGCUCGAAAGCGUGGGGAGCAAACAGGAUUAGAUACCCUGGUAGUCCACGCUGUAAACGAUGAUUACUAGGUGUUGGGGACCAAAGGUCCUCGGUGCCGCCGCAAACGCAUUAAGUAAUCCACCUGGGGAGUACGUUCGCAAGAAUGAAACUCAAAGGAAUUGACGGGG
rnacentral:rRNA from 1 species